rnacentral:lncRNA from 1 species
ACAGUGCGGUAAAGCCAAGGGAGAUUAUCCAGACCCCCAGGAGCGAACAGCAAGCAGCAACCGAAGGCGCAAGUGCCAGGAUUACAGCCUAGGCUGCUCCAACUAUGAGCCCUUCCUCGGACCCUGGGACUCGGCUACUUGGGGUUUGGGGGUCUUCCACACCACAGAGGCACAAAGCUGACUUUAAUCACUUUUUUUCCUUUAAACUUGAUUCUGCCGCAGUGGAGCCAGCACAGCGGAUGUUUUCACACCCAGCAAGACAAAGGCCGUCGUCUCCGCCAUGACACUGUUCCGUUCCAAGCAGAGGCCGGGAUUCUGGACUCCUCGAAAAAUCAAAAAGAAACAAGGAAAACAAACAACAAAUACAGCAACAAACAGAAAAAACUGAAAACCACCAAAAUCGUUUGCCCGUUUGCCCGUGCCAGGGGUGAUCUGGGCAUCUGUUGCAGCAGAAGGCGCUUGUGUGGGGCUAAUUUUUCUUUUGGUGGGGGGGACAAGCUGUUGGCUUGUUUGCUAUUUCAACUUCGUUUAUAAUUAACUUAAAAAAAACCCCACCAUUCAGCCUAGUCAACAACAAACAAAGAAAAAGCAGACAUCGGAAGAGAAAUGCCAUAGGAAGCGGCAUGAAUACAUGCCACAGCCGGUGCCACUUGCCACUCGGAAAACCUCAGGGAAAGAUGCCAAUUCUACAGCUGCGAAGAAGGCAGAGAAAGGAGGAUAAAGGUCUACAACUAGAAAUCAUAAGGAAAGAAUACUGCUUGUAUAAUCCUGGAUUGCAAUUGCACACAGCCUCUGCUGGGAGAAGAGAGGGAAUAUUUAAAUGGAGAUAUAGAUGGGUAUAAAUUAAAAGAUAGGCACCUAUCGAUUGCGUAUAAACACAUGUGUAAGGUUGUAUGUGUAUAUAAAUAUGCAUAUUUUCAGACAAACGUUUAGAUAUGUAUAUAUUUUGUGCUACAGGUAUGGGUAUGUAUAUAGGUGUAUAUGUUUAUGCAUAUACACACAUAUGUAGGAUGUAUGCAUGUGUGAGAAAAAGGAGGGAGAGAGAGGAGAGAGAAGGAAAUAUGUGUAUGUGCAUGUAUGUGUAUGCAUACAUCCCACUUUUUGACCCAGGUAUACACAGAAGACAAAAUAAAAAUCAUACUCCAGCAGCAAGCAGGCAGCCAGAGAUUUAUCUACAUUCACUGCUAUCACCAGGGAGAUGAAUGGGGCCGAUCUGAAGCCCUUUUACAAGAUCCACUAUGGGAGUGAAGGAGGAGGAGGGAUGCCACACAGACAUGCACAAACUUGAAGGCAGAGCGAUUUGGAAGGGGCUACUGAGGAAACACUGGUGGCAUAACGCAGGGGAGAAGAAGGGGAAAGAGGCUUGUCUCUCUCUCUCUAUGUUUUAGGUGGUUGUUUUUAAAAAAUCUGCAAAAGGGUUUCAGGGAACGGCUGGUACUUACGUUGUCUGCGUUGCUGUGGAUCCUGAAAGGUGUUCUGUUGGCACCGGGCGCUGAGCCAGGGGCAGGCGCUGGAAACAAAAGGGAGAGACAAAAAAAUAAAGUGAUUCAAUGGGAAUAUUAAUUGCUGCUCUUGUGGAUUUUACAAAACACAUAAACUGUUUUCUUUUUCUUUCUUAAAAAAAAAUGUGGAUUGGCGCGUGUCCCUUUUGCAUGGAAUAUACAAGUAGUAUGGGAUUUACAGCCCAGUUACGGGACUCAGGAUUAGCUGCGCUGGCAUCUUUUGGGCAUAUUCUUCCUUUUAAUGAAUGAGCUUUCGCUGUUAAUGAGGAAUAAUCGUUUGGCUAAUGAGCUUUGAAACAUUAAGAGAAAAGAGGUUUUUUCCGUUAAUCGCUCUGGUGCGACUGCAUGGAUGGAUUACAAAAGACAGCAAUAGGAACGCAGUACAAAGGGGGGGACCUCUCCUGCAGUGGGAGAAGCACCGAGAUGGGUGAUGUGUCCCUGCGUCUUUCCUUCCUUCUCUCUUUCGCUCUCUCUGCCAACUGCUAUGGGUUUCCAUAACUCUGCAAUCAAAGUGGAUGGUCGGGAAGGAUUAUUACACAGAGUGAAGCCUCCGCUGUUAAUGUCUCCAGUGUUUAAUCAUCAUACAGUAGAAUGGUUUUAUGCAUAUUUCAUUUGCAUAUCAUUAAACUGUGUUAGUGAGGGGCAUUCAGAACCAGGAGAAGUACAAAGUUGGGGAGAGAGGGAAGAAAAAAAGGUCCCUAUGAUGCUUAUCUUCAAACGGGGACUUGUUCCAUGAUCUGUCUUCUACUUUUGCUAAAAUCAUUAUGACUUGGAAACCUUUGAAGUUGGAUACAACCUUGGAUUCUUCUAAUUCCUGCAGAGCAGUGUAUUUUACAAAACAGCAGAAAUGUUCCUGCACUAGACAAUUAAAGGAAUAUAAACUCCAGUGGGCUGAAACUAGUAGCUCUUUGGGGAAUGCAGUAGCAGAGGCUUCUACAAAUACCAACACUUAAAAAUAUAUAAUAAACAGCAUCAUAUUAGAAACAAAGAAAACGAAGACAAGAAAUAUUAACACGUGGAUUAUAUUUGUUUCUUUUGGGGGGUAAUGAACUAAAGAGAAUGAAGAAGCCAUCGGUAAUUUAUCCCUUCAUUAAUGAACAGUCACCUUUUUGUAUGUGUUUGUUUUUGUCCUUUCUUUUUGAAGAGGGAUGUUGUUACUUUUGAAGCAAUUAGUCAAUUAUUUUGUAGCUCUGAUCUUUUCCCCCUGCACCCGACAGGACAGAAAGGUGGUGGUUAGGGAAUAUGUGAGUACUUGGGGAGGGGGGGACUUGGUGGGGAGAGAAAGAAUACAGUGAGUUCUUUGUAGAUCUUAUACAUGCACAACAUAUUAAUUGGGGGCUUUUAAAGCUCCCUCAAUGGGCUAUUUCAUUCCUGGUAAAACAGCAGCUGGUUAGCCACUACUGGUGACUCUUCAAAUAUUACUUCAUUUUUAUUCUGUCGCCGUUGUUGUUGUCUUGCUUUGUUUUUCCUCAGUUAAGAAUGAAAAUGUAGUAUCACCCCCUCUUUAGUGAGUCUCUUCUCCAUCUUCUUCACUCCAAUUUCCAAACUGUAAAACAAUGUUGGCUUAAUACUGAGUCCUGGUGCACAGUCUAACUGGCACAACUUGAUUUGGAAAUGAGAUGCUGCUUUAUAUUUAAAUUACCCCGGCUCCCCCCUUAUCCUCCAAAGCUUUGUCUCUGUUAUGAAUAUGCAGAUGAGGCCUGAUGUGAUUACACUGUACAAUUACUCCUAUCCAUGGUGGUGUCAGGGGCUGCUAGGGAGACAGAGAGUCAGACAGCCUCCAAGCCAAUACAGAGUUUUGUUUUCGGUAUUUUUCCUAUCUCCUUGGCACUGCGGCACAUGCAGAUGUCGCUGUUGUUCUUUAUAAAGCCCUAAUGUAUGCAAAAGCAUAACGAUUUGGUUUGGACGCAAAGCAUCAACGAAAUAUUAUGGAUGUCUUCAAGAAAGGGGGAGAGAAAAUCCUGACUGAAGGAAUGUCCACAUAAAUUAUUUUUAUUUAAAUGAAUUCAAAGGAUGGGAUGAGGGCAAGUCAGACGGAGUCGCGUGGAAAACAUGAAUAAUAUUAAUAUGCAUAAAGAAUUCUCACCAACGAGGAGAAGCUCCUCACUACAGCUCUUGGGACAAACAGGUUCAUUAGGAAACAGCUCAGAGCGACUACAGCAUUUUGCUAUUUCAAUUUUUUCCCUUAUUUUAAAUGAAGAGUCAGACAGAUGUGUUUUCUUUGCAUGGCAGCAUUGAGAUGGAUCCAAUCUGCGAAAUUUGCUGCCCAAAUAGCAUUUCUAAUGGAAACUGGAACUAAACAAGGGCACGGAUAUGGGAGGGAGGGGAGAAGAGAGAAUACACGAAGAAGAGUAUAUUCAGAGCCACUGCAUGGCAUUUUGAGUACAGGAGGUUUUCAGGAACGAUCUUUGCUUCAUUAGUCUCCCCUGUGGGCUCCUGAUGUAGGGAGCUAUCAGGGUAUACCAAGAUGAGCACUGAGACAGGCCUUUCUAGGUCUGAGGCUGAGGAAAGCAGCGGCAACUUGGUGCCUGUCCCCCAGAGCUGUCUACAGUUCAGAAGCCAAAAGCACAGCUACUUCUAAUUUGGGGAUGCAGUAGAGUGCCUACUGAUCCAGGUAUUUGUGAAAGAUGGAAUUCUUGGUGCUAUCAUAGUAUACAUUGCUAAAGAGCAGAUGAAAUCGGCUGCUUAAGGAGGCCUGAUAAUAUUUAUGUUGGUUAAUUCUCAUGAUAAUGAUAACUGCACUUGUCUAGUAUUUUCAGAAUGUUAAAAUUACCAGUGUGGCUUAAUGCAUGUUUACAAUAAAUAGAGAGGGACAAA